rnacentral:rRNA from 1 species
AAUAGUUUUUUAAUUAAAAACUUGAAUGAAAGAGCUGACGAGAUAAAAAUUGUUUCAAUAUUAAUAAUUGAAUUUAAAUUUUAAGUUAAAAUGCUUAAAUAUUUUUAUAAGACGAGAAGACCCUAUAGAAUUUAAUAAAAUUUUAGUAUAAUGAUUUUUUUAUAAUUAAAAUAUUUAUAUUAAAUUAUAUUUAGUUGGGAGGAUUAUAAAAUUAAAAAAACUUUUAUUUUUUAAUAACAUAGAUAAAUGAAUAGUUGAUUAUUAUUAUAAUUAAAAGAAAAAAUUACCUUAGGGAUAACAGCGUAAUAUUUUUGGAGAGAUCAAAUUGAUAAAAUUGUUUGCGACCUCGAUGUUGAAUUAUGAUAUAAUUUAAAUGUAGGAGUUUAAAUUGUUAGUCUGUUCGACUAUUAAAAUCAUACGUGAUCUGAGUUCA